rnacentral:rRNA from 1 species
CGCGUAGGUGGUAGUGCAAGUCUGGGGUGGAAUCCCAGGGCUUAACCCUGGAACUGCCUUGGAAACUGUAUUACUUGAGUCAGUGAGGGGAGGGUAGAAUUCCUGGUGUAGCGGUGAAAUGCGUAGAUAUCAGGAGGAAGGCCUGUGGCGAAGGCGGCCCUCUGGCGCUGAACUGACACUGAGGCGCGAAAGCGUGGGGAGCAAACAGGAUUAGAUACCCUGGUAGUCCACGCCCUAAACGGUGGGUACUAGGUGUAGGGUUCGUAAGGGUUCUGUGCCGAAGCGAAAGCAUUAAGUACCCCGCCUGGGGAGUACGGCCGCAAGGUUGAA